rnacentral:tRNA from 1 species
ACGACAGUGGCUCAAUUGGCAGAGCAGCGGUCUCCAAAACCGCGGGUUGGGGGUUCGAGUCCCUCCUGUCGUG